UACGGAGGAUGCAAGCGUUAUCCGGAUUUAUUGGGUUUAAAGGGUGCGCAGGUUGUUUGAUAAGUCAGUGGUGAAAGUCUGUCGCUUAACGGUAGGAUUGCCAUUGAUACUGUUGGACUUGAAUAUGGAUGAGGUAGGCGGAAUGUGCAGUGUAGCGGUGAAAUGCAUAGAUAUUACACAGAACACCGAUUGCGAAGGCAGCUUACUAAUCCAUCAUUGACGCUGAGGCACGAAAGCGUGGGGAUCAAACA
rnacentral:rRNA from 1 species